CCUGGUUGAUCCUGCCAGUAGUCAUAUGCUUGUCUCAAAAGAUUAACCAUGCAUGUGUAAGUAUGAGCAAUUCAGGCUUCGAAGCUCUCGAAUGGCUCAUUAAAUCGAUUAUAGUUUGUUUGAUGAGUAACUUCUACUUUCGGAUAACGUAGUAAUUCUGAGCUAUCGUUACACAAACCCGACUUGGAAGGGAUGCAUUUAUUAUAAUAAAAGAUUAAAUUACUCUGCCGUUGCUCGAUGAUUCAUGAUAACUUCGGCGGAUCGCAUGGCCUUAGUUGGCGGCGCAUCAUUCAAAUUUCUGCCCUAUCAACUUUCGAUGGUAGGAUAGUGGCCUACCAUGAGUGGUAACGGGUGGCGGAGAAUUAGGGUUCGAUUCGGAGAGGAGCCUGAAAGCGGCUACCACAUCCAAAGGAAGGCAGCGGCAGCGCCCCAAUCUGACAGGGGAGGUAAGGUGACAAUAAAUAACAAUACCGGGCUCUUGAGUUACGGUAAUUGGAAUAGUACAAUCUAAAUCCCUUAGCGAGGAUCCAUUGGAGAACAGUCUGGUUGCCAGCAGCAGCCCUUAAUUCCAGCUCAAUAAGCGUAUAUUUAAGUUGUUGCAGUUAAAAGCUUCAUUAGUUGAACCUUGGGAUGAAUUGGCAGUCCGCCCCGGUGAAACGCCGUCGAAGCUUGUCUCUUCUAUGGCGGCGAUAAACUCCUGGCCUUAACUGGCGGGUUGGUGCCUCGGCGCUGUUACUGAAGAAAUUAAAUGCUCAAAGCAAGCCUAAAGCUCUGUAUACAUUAGCAUGGGAUAACAUCCUAGGAUUUCCGAUCCUAUUGUGUUGUAUGGGAUCGAAUAAUGAUUAGCGGGGACAGUGGGGCAUUAAGUAUUUCAUAGUCAGAGGUGAAAUUCUUGGAUUUUAUGAAGGCGAACAACUUUCGAAAGCAUUUGCCAAGGAUGUUUUCGUGUCAAGAGCGAAGUUGGGGCUUCGAAGGCGAUCCAGGAUACCGUCUAGUCUCAACCAUAAGCGAUGCCGACCAGGGGAUCAAAGCGGAUGUUGCUUUUAGGACUCGCUGGCACCUUAUGAAAAUCAAAGUUUUUUGGGUUCCGGGGGUAUGGUAAAGGCUGAAACUUAAAGGAAGGUGUGGAAGGGCACCACCGGGAGUGGAGCCUGCGGCUUAAUUGACUCUCAACAGGAAACUUUACCAGGUCGGGACAUAGUAAGUUGACAGACUGAGAGCUCUUUCUUGAUUCUAUGGGUGGUGGUGCAUGGCGUUCUUAGUUGGUGGGCGAUUUGUGCGGUUAAUUCCGUUAACGAGCGGACCUCAGCCUGCUAACUAGCUAGCACGUGGAGGCAUCCCUUCCGCGACUGACUUCUUAGAGGGACUAUGGCGUUUAGGCGAAGGAAGUUGAAGGCAAUAACAGGUCUGUGAUGCCCUUAGAUGUUACGGGCGCCGCAGCGCACACUGAUGUAUUCAGCGAGUUCACACCUUGGCCGACAGGCCGGGUAAUCUUUGAAAUUUCAUCGUUGAUGGGGAUAGAUCAUUGCAAUUGUUGGUCUUCAGCGAGGAAUUCCCUAAUAAAAGCCCAGUCAUCAGCUCGGCGUUGACUCGUCCUGCCCUUUGUACACACGCCCGUCAAUGCCGAUUGAAUGAUCCGGUGAAGUGUUGGAUCGCGGCGGCGUGGGUGGUUAGCCCGUCUACGACGUCGCGAAAGUCCACUAAACCUUAUCAUUUAGAGGAAGGAGAAAUUAAGUAACAAGGUUUCGUGGUGAACCUCUUGGAA
rnacentral:rRNA from 1 species